GACGGUCGCAGCAUCCCUCUUGUCACGUGAUCACAAUUCAGAUGUUGGGCAAGUGACUCGUAUUUAUGAUGGUCGCAGCGUCCCUCUUGUCACGUGAUCACAAUUCAGACGCUGGGUAAAUGACUCGUAUGUAUGACACGGUCGCAGCUCCUGGGGCCAUUGCAAACUUUAGACAAAGUCAAUGGGGGAAUCCAGGUUCAUUUAAGGACCAGAUUAUUAAUUUAACAACUGCAGAGAUUCCCUUGACAACUGUGGCAAGACAGGUCGUAAAAUGAGUCAAACUCUCUUAACCCGUCUCUCUUAGCAAGAGACAUUUUGGCCUCUGUUGUGGUGACAAGUCCUGUAAUGGCCAGCCCCAAAACCCCUCUUAUUUGGAUAACGGGAUAGAAUUCUAGCAUUACUGUGAGCGAGCUUAGAUUAAACCAGGAUGGGUCUGAUGAAAAGACCAACAUUCCAGGGCCAAACAGGCUACGUUUUGCCCCGGAAUGUUUGCCAAAUGUUUGUUCUUUAACCAUGGUUGAACUCUCCUGCCUGAACCAGUGGCAUAAACCCCGGAAACCGUUUUUUUCCCAUUAACGUUGUUAGAUCGUGGUCACUGAUUAAACGACGGAACGCUGUGCAAAA